rnacentral:rRNA from 1 species
GGGGAGUACGGUCGCAAGAUUAAAACUCAAAUGAAUUGACGGGGGCCCGCACAAGCGGUGGAGCAUGUGGUUUAAUUCGAUGCAACGCGAAGAACCUUACCUACUCUUGACAUCCAGAGAAGCCAGCGGAGACGCAGGUGUGCCUUCGGGAGCUCUGAGACAGGUGCUGCAUGGCUGUCGUCAGCUCGUGUUGUGAAAUGUUGGGUUAAGUCCCGCAACGAGCGCAACCCUUAUCCUUGUUUGCCAGCGAGUAAUGUCGGGAACUCCAGGGAGACUGCCGGUGAUAAACCGGAGGAAGGUGGGGACGACGUCAAGUCAUCAUGGCCCUUACGAGUAGGGCUACACACGUGCUACAAUGGCGCAUACAGAGGGCAGCAAGCUAGCGAUAGUGAGCGAAUCCCAAAAAGUGCGUCGUAGUCCGGAUUGGAGUCUGCAACUCGACUCCAUGAAGUCGGAAUCGCUAGUAAUCGUGAAUCAGAAUGUCACGGUGAAUACGUUCCCGGGCCUUGUACACACCGCCCGUCACACCAUGGGAGUGGGCUGCAAAAGAAGUGGGUAG